GCCUUGAUUUAGGGGAAGUGAUUCCAUAGAAUUGAAAGCUGUAAUAUAUUUGACAUAUCUGUAUGUUGCUAUAGUCUCUUAGAACCAUUUAUGGGGAAAUGCAGCUGAAUUCUCUUUUCAUUAAGUAAUUUGGUUAAUUUUCAUUGACUUUUUCCCCUGGUCUUUGUCCUGAACCAGACACACUGCUGAUGUGAAUGGGAUAGAGAAAGCGGAGUUCAUAUGGUACAAGAGUAAACUUCCCUUCCAUGCUGUGUUCCAGGAAGGCAUGAAGGCACUUGGAGCGAGCCUGGUGAAGGGCCACCACAAUGGUCAUGUGGCUGGGGCUGGCCAGAGGGAUGGAUCUGGCUUAUCCUGGAGAAGAGAAGGCUAAGAAGGAAUCUAACUGCUGUCUUAGAGUAACUAAAACUGGGUUAUAGAGAACAUUGCACCAGACUCUGGUCGGAUCUGCACAGUGAAAUGACAAGAGGAAACUUUUCCAGCAACAAGGUGCAACAAGAGAAACGCCAGUGACGUGUAAGGAAGCAAUUCUUCCAUGGUGAGAGCAGUUAACCACUGAAAUAGAUUGCCCAAAGAGAAUGAAUUUCCUUCCUUGGCAAUUCUCAAGACUCACCUGGAUGACCUCCAGAAGGCCUUUCCAACCAGGUUUUCUAUGAUUCCAUGCAAGGGACACAGUAUUUGUAUUUUUCUGUGAUUUCUGCACCAGGACACAUCAUAGGUUAUAUUCUCCACUGAAAUAGUAGGGAGAUGACUAGGCCCCGUCCUGAGGCUUGAAUAACAGAACACACCAUGAGAAAAUACUGAACAUCACAAGAGAAACUGCCAAACAUAACAAAUAGCAGAGUGAGCAGCUGACAAGACAUUACAGUGUAACACCAUGAGAAAUGGCUGGAUUUCACAGUCCAUUAUGGAGAAUUAUGUGAGAGAUGGACAAGUGCCACAGCCUGUGCUUGUGUGGAGAGGUUCAAGCGUCAGCAACCAGAGAAGGGGCUGUGGGUCAUAAGGGCCCAUAGUACCAACAACUGGACAGCAUGGUAUACAGACAUUGCCGAGCUAAUUCAGCCCUGUGUGCAUGAGUGUGCCUGCACGUGUGUACGUGCAAUUCACUUCACGCUGGACUAGCUGGCAAGCAGAAGACCCACAUCUGGAAAGACUUAAGGUCUGAGCCAAUGACUAGGUAAGGGGCACCUGGCCCAAGAGCGGGUAUCAGGAAGGCUUAGAGCCUGUGCUAAGGUCUGAGGGAUUUGUGAAUGUGCCAUGCUUGUGAGCCUAAAGAGCGAAGGUAUGCAACAUAUGCUUGCAUUGGUGAACUUUAAGCCUGAUAAACUGG
rnacentral:lncRNA from 1 species